rnacentral:rRNA from 1 species
UAGAGUUUGAUCAUGGCUCAGAUUGAACGCUGGCGGCAGGCUUAACACAUGCAAGUCGAGCGGUAACAUUUCUAGCUUGCUAGAAGAUGACGAGCGGCGGACGGGUGAGUAAUACUUAGGAAUCUACCUAGUAGUGGGGGAUAGCUCGGGGAAACUCGAAUUAAUACCGCAUACGACCUACGGGAGAAAGGGGGCAACUUGUUGCUCUCGCUAUUAGAUGAGCCUAAGUCGGAUUAGCUAGAUGGUGGGGUAAAGGCCUACCAUGGCGACGAUCUGUAGCUGGUCUGAGAGGAUGAUCAGCCACACCGGGACUGAGACACGGCCCGGACUCCUNCUGGACGCAGCAG